CCUACGGGUGGCAGCAGUAGGGAAUCUUUCACAAUGGGCGAAAGCCUGAUGGAGCAACGCCGCGUGCAGGAUGAAGGCCUUCGGGUUGUAAACUGCUUUUAUAAGCGAGAAAUAUGAUGGUAACUUAUGAAUAAGGAUCGGCUAAAUACGUGCCAGCAGCCGCGGUCAUACGUAGGAUCCGAGCAUUAUCCGGAGUAACUGGGUGUAAAGAGUUGCGUAGGUGGCAUAAUAAGUAGCUAGUGAAAUCUGGUGGCUCAACCAUUCAGACUAUUAGCUAAACUGUUAAGCUCGAGACCGUUAGGGGUAACUGGAAUUUCUAGUGUAGGAGUGAAAUCCGUAGAGAUUAGAAGGAACACCAAUAGCGUAGGCAGGUUGCUGGAACGAUUCUGACACUAAGGCACGAAAGCGUAGGGAGCAAACGGGAUUAGAUACCCCAGUAGUC
rnacentral:rRNA from 1 species